rnacentral:rRNA from 1 species
UACGUAGGGGCAAGCGUUGUCCGGAAUCAUUGGGCGUAAAGCGCGUGUAGGCGGCCCGGUAAGUCCGCUGUGAAAGUCGGGGGGCUCAACCCUCGAAUGCCGGUGGAUACUGUCGGGCUAGAGUGCGGAAGAGGCGAGUGGAAUCCUGGUGUAGCGGUGAAAUGCGCAGAUAUCAGGAGGAACACCAAUUGCGAAGGCAGCUCGCUGGGACGUGACUGACGCCUGGAGACGCGAAAGCGUGGGGAGCAAACAGG